UAGGGGCCGCAUCCUCUCCGCCCCCGGUCUGGGAUCCCGGCCACUGACAGCUCACCGAGGAGCAGGAAAGGCCAGCCAAACCGGACAUCGUACCUUCAAGGUUGAACUUACUUCAUCCUAAGAAUCAGACCCAGAUUCUCCUGUGGGCAGCAGGAGAGAGAAGCCAUCCUGAGGCCUCCAGCAAGGCGGGUGUGAUCAAAACGGAGCCGUCGAACACUGCUCGCACACUUUGUCCCUGUGCCGAGGGAAACUGUUGCCUGCACGGCCCACGAGACGAGUGUGCGCACAUGCGAGGUCGCCUUUGUUGGGAAGGAUUUUCCUUCAUAUGCUGCCAUGAUUCCCUCCCUCCCCCGCCCCCGCUCCUUCCUUCUUUCCUGUAAAAUGUUGACAGGUUCCCACCCCAAAGUCUUUAUCUGA